AAAAAAGAAUCCUUCUUCCUGAAAUAGAGGAAAACAUGACCAGCAUCUACAGUUUUGCUCUGUGUGACAUGCACUGUGCACACUGUCCCUGUCUCUACAGAAGCAACCACCUUUCAUCAUUCUGGAAUGAAUCCUUUUUCCAGAAUCACUAUUUCUAGCCCUCUUUGCCGCCAUGCUCUGAACUAAAAAUUCCUGCAACUCACUGAUAAAAUAAUUCCUUAUCCUGGAGAUAGUUUUUGUUUCUUUUCUCUUAGGCAUCUUAUUCCCCAUCCCAUAUCCCUAUUUCUGUUAAGUUUCAGGAGGGCAAGUUUAGGGUAGGCAUUAAACAGUACAGAAGCUGUGCAUUUAUCAGGACAGUUGGGAAUUAUUUUUCUCUAUUUUCUGAGAUUUAUCAUGGGAGUUUUAAUGUAUAUGUUUUUUUUUUGCUCUGUGACAAGUGUUGUAGAACAAAAGGUCAUAGAGCAUUUUAUUUUACUCUUUGACAAAGGUCACCUGCAAACCUAAGAUUUUAAUACAGGACCAGAGGACACAAAGGAACCCUCUCAUACAGAUUUUGGAAUGAUCUGGAAGUAGGCGAGUAUGGGAGGCUAAACAGUCUGCUGACUAGCUGGCGGUUUAAUGCUUCUCAAAAGCAUCUGAUAAGUUAUUUUUUUGAUUGAUGUACAGUUGACAGUAGCUGCACAUAAAGUAUACAGUGUGAUCAGUUUUGGCAUGUGCAUAUACCUAUGAAACUGUCACCACAGACAAGAUAGUAAAACAUAUCUGUCACCGCCCUUAAAUUGGGAGCAAGACAGGCAUGUCCAUUUGCACCACUACUGUUCAACAUUGUGCUGGAAUUCCUACCAAGCAAAAGAAGACAAGACAAAGAAGAGGCAUACAGAUUGGAAAGGACAAUAUGAAUGCCUAUAUAGAAAAUGCCAUGGACUCACCAAAAAAUCUAGAACUAAUAAAUGAGUUAAGCAAGGUCACAAGAUAGAAAAGUCAAUUGUAUUUUUAUAUAUCAGCAGUGAACAAUUGGAUGUUGAGAUAAUAAAACAUAGUACCAUUUGCAGUAGCUUAGAAAAAAAAUGAAAUUCAUAUGUGUAAAUCUCACAAGGAUCUGUAUACUGAACACUACAAAACACUGAUAAUGAAACAAAUGAAAGAAAUCCAAUACCUAAAUAAAUGGAGAGAUAUACCAUUUUAAAAUGUCAGUUCUCCCCAAGUUGAUUUAUAGAUUCAACACAGUCCCAAUCAUAAUACCAGCAUGAUUGUUUAUAAAUAAUACUAUAGAUAUAAAUAUCUAAAAUCUGUGCCUUUACAUACAGAUUUAAAAACCUGUAUGAAAAGGCAAAGGAACUAAAAAACCAAAACAGUAUUGAAGAAAAAACAGGAAAUAUUGGAGGAUUCACAAUACCCUAUUUCAAGACUUAACUAUAAAAGUACAGUAGUAAUGAAGACAGCAUGCUCUUAG